AUUAGCCCUUCUGUGUUUAUUGGAUGAGCAAUUUGUGUCUGUCUGAAAAGCUACGUCUGAAUAAUGUUUGGCACGAGCUGAAGAAAUGUGAGCCUCUGCAGUCCCCUCCAGCCAGCAUUCUGGAGCCAGCCGUUCUCCUGCCAAGAGGGUUCGACAGCUCUGCAGCUCGUCUGCAGCCUAAACAUGUUUGCCGGUGGGGAGAGGAGGAAUUGGUAGGAGGGGGAGGGAGGUGCCCCUGGUGGGACCAGACACCCAGAGGGACAGAAGAGUAGAGCAACUUCAGCAAAUCUGCCAAUUGUUCUGGAGCCCCUGUAAUAAUUUGGGGUCAUCACAGAUGCCCAUGGUAGUCACCUGUGUGACUGGGGACAAGAAAACCAGGGCCCCCUGUGCAGCUCAGGAGCCUGGCCCAGAGUCCCAGAAGUGAACUGCAGCUGAGACUGCACUGAAGUGCAGUGCACUGAAGUGAACUGCAGAAGAGACUGAAGGAAGUCCGCCCAGGCAUAUCCACAGAAUCCUUCUCAACGCAGCAACACAGCGAGAUGAUCAGAAGAGGCACAUGAGAGAAGAAAGGCAUUUGCCAUCACCCCUUGGAAGGAGUCUCAGCCGACUCAGAAGGACAGAGAGAAAAUUAUGAGGACAGGAUCACUGAAACCCUACCCAUAUGGAAUCCUGUGAAACCUGGCAGACGGUUCCAUUCUCAACACAAGUGACUGACCAAUCCAGGCUGGCAACCAGCUGGACCAAUCAUCAUCCCUUCUCUGGACAUAUGCCUUGGGAUUGUGCUCAUGAUUAAUUUAUUGCCUCUUGGCUCCAAAUUCAGCCUUCAUUGUCUACUCUACAAAAAUAUAGCAGUUCAUCUCAAAUUUUUUUGCUAGCUGACCAAUGUAAAAUUUUGUCAGUAGAGGGCACUGGAGAGACAUUGUACGAGGAAUUUUCUUUCCUGAUUCAAGUGUGCUCGGUUCAACAAGCCCCCCCGUGUGGCACCUGACUCCUACAGCAUGGGAAACUUCUCCAGUAUCCAGCUCUUGCAAUGCAAGUGACUUAUCUAGUAUCAAGUUCCUGAACGACAGAUGGUUUCUUUAGCGUCAGCUCCUGCCGUGCAUGGGGGGCCAGCAUCCUCCACAGGCCAGCAACGUCCCCCGGCACUCCACUCUACUCCCUUUUGUAGAAGAGUGACUCCAGUGAACACCUCCCAAACACAUUCUGCUAGUGCAGCACCAUAGUGGUGUCUCUACUGUCCAAUGAACUACAGCCACACCCUUUCCAAAAAGGUCCAGAUCUCAGCCCUGGGAGUGGCAGUAGGAAGUCCUGCCCUGGAUGCUCCAUCUCAGCUCCAAAGAGACUUCACUAAGACUGAGUCAUCAAACUUCUAAGGUCAUAUCAACCACAGUGGAGCUGUCCUUCCUCUUCUGGAUUCCCAGGUCGGGGAACUCCCUCUUCCUCCUCUGAUGUAUCAUAAUGGCUGAGAAGGAGACCAGAAAACCCAGAGAAAAGAGAACCUGGAGGACUGCCUGGACCUCAGUCCCCUAAAAGGCUAAGGGCUCCAGUAAGUAUCUUCAGGAAGAGCUUUACUAUAGCCACGAAGCAAGUGGGGGACAUUUUAAAAGGGAUCACAUACAACAAGUCUGUAACUGAGAUUAGGGUUGAAAUAAACUGGAAAAAAAGAAAGGCAGAUACUGGAAAAAGUGAAUCCCAAGUGAAUCCCAAAAAGACCCCAAGUGAAUCCCACAGUUCAUUUACCUCAAAGUAGUGGUUCUAGUGGUUUUCAGCUAGAUGGGACUCUACCCCAAUCAUUGGACAUUUGACAACGUCUGAAGACAUUUUUGGUCGUCACAACUGGGGAGAAGAGUGACUGGCAUCUACUAAGUAGUGACCAGGGAGAGUGCUAAACAUCCUCUGAUGCACAGGACUGCUCCUUAUUACAAAGAAUUAGAAGGCCAAAAUGUCAAUAGUGCCACCACUGAGAAACCUUGCUUUAUUUGACAGAGAGAGAGAGAGAGAGAG